CUUGGUGACUAUAGCGAGGUGCUCAGAACACGAUCCCAUUCCGAACUCGAACGUUAAACACCUCAGCGCCGAUGGUACUUUGUCUUAAGGCAUGGAAGAGUAGGUCGUCGCCAAGUCCGCUAAAAGCAAAGAAUGUCUCAUACGAUGUAAAUUAUUUAAAAACCCCACUCGCUAGAAAUAGCAAGUGGGGUUUUUGUAUUAGGGGGGGAGU
rnacentral:rRNA from 1 species